rnacentral:rRNA from 1 species
GUGGGGAAUAUUGGACAAUGGGCGAAAGCCUGAUCCAGCCAUGCCGCGUGUGUGAAGAAGGUCUUCGGAUUGUAAAGCACUUUAAGUUGGGAGGAAGGGCAGUAAGUUAAUACCUUGCUGUUUUGACGUUACCGACAGAAUAAGCACCGGCUAACUUCGUGCCAGCAGCCGCGGUAAUACGAAGGGUGCAAGCGUUAAUCGGAAUUACUGGGCGUAAAGCGCGCGUAGGUGGUUUUGUAAGUUGGAGGUGAAAUCCCCGGGCUCAACCUGGGAACUGCCUCCAAAACUGCAUGACUAGAGUACGGUAGAGGGUAGUGGAAUUUCCUGUGUAGCGGUGAAAUGCGUAGAGAUAGGAAGGAACACCAGUGGCGAAGGCGACUACCUGGACUGAUACUGACACUGAGGUGCGAAAGCGUGGGGAGCAAACAGGAUUAGAAACCCCAGUAGUCC